GGUUGGUCUGAUGGCAGUGAGUUAUCAGAACUUAUUAACAUUUAAUAUCAUUAAAGUUGGUAUACAACACCCUACUGCUAAAUUUGACUGGCUUAAA
rnacentral:Y_RNA from 1 species